AACGAGGCCGACCUGCGGCUGAGUUACCUGCGGAGGGAUCAUUACCGAGUGAGGGCCCUCCGGGUCCAACCUCCCACCCGUGUUUAACGAACCUUGUUGCUUCGGCGGGCCCGCCUCACGGCCGCCGGGGGGCACCCCGCCCCCGGGCCCGCGCCCGCCGAAGACACCUGUGAACGCUGUCUGAAGUUGCAGUCUGAGACACUAGCUCAAUCAGUUAAAACUUUCAACAAUGGAUCUCAG
rnacentral:misc_RNA from 1 species